rnacentral:lncRNA from 1 species
GGCCAGGCCCCGCUGUCCGCCAGCCUCAGGCCUCGCGGGUCCGCACGCCGGGCCGCUUGGUCUGGACCACGGAGGUCACUGGCUCCGGCCCAUGGGCUGCUAUUUUGGUCUGGGAGGCUGCGGCCUCUGUGUGCCCCAGAUAGGGCCUCGCACUCAGACAGGUGGGGAGGUCGGGCCGCGCGGUUCGGUCACCGCCCCAGAGCCCACGGGCAUUGCAGGCCUUGGCUUCCUGUAGGAUUUGGGCUGCUGCGGUCUGAACCGGCCAGAACCACAAGCCUUAGCUGGGCUGCACCUGUUGCCUCAGCUUGACUCUGCAUCUGACAGAGGGAGGAAACCGAGACCUGGUUGCUGAAAUGUCUGCCCGCACUGAGGAUUAGGUGAGUGAAGAAAUUUUGCCUGCCGCAAUGGCUGCCUUUAGCAUGGGCUCUUCAGGAGGUCUGUCUUCAACCGUCCACCUGUCUCUCAGCAGCCAUGUCUGGUCUGUGCAUGGUCCUGUCCGGGACUAGGGAGCCAAGGAGAUAGCAUGUCAGAAAGCUCAGACGUUUCCAGCCUAUGUGAGAGCUGAGGCUGCAGUGUUAUUUAUGGCCUCGAGUGAGUAGGUGGGGCCUCUUCGAGGUGGUAUGGGGUGAACUUACUUGGGUGGAGAGCCCUGCACUCAGAUCAGCGGGGUGGGAAGGGGCUAGGGUCAGUGCCCCAGCCUGGGGACACCCCCCCCCCCUGCAUUGGUCCCUGGGAACCAUUCUGUCAGGAUUUCCUUGUGGGUUUUGAAGGAGGCCUGUCUCCCCACCUUGGGGUGCAGGCAGAGGUGGCCCUAUUUCUCUGGUGCCUCACUAGCUCAUAGGCCUGCGCCUGGUGGUCAGAGAGAUCUGGGGAGGCUUCCGGGGCUGCUGGCUCUCACACGUCUCCUGCCUCUUGAAUGUGCAGGAUGGAGGGCAGUGCACAGGGCUUCAUGUUGGUGUGAGGUCAGGAGCACAGGUGUGCAGAGCUGCACCAUGCACAGCAGCCCUGGGAGGACCUGGACCCUUCCAUUUGCAGAUGAGGACACUGAGGUGCAGGGUGGUGAGGGGAGGUGCCUGUGCACUGGUAGGGUCAUCUCCAACCCUGUUGCUGCCCCCUCUCCCUACUGUGACUGGUCCACUUGCUUCACAGGUGCUGCCUGUUAACAUGGGGAGCAGGGGAAUGCUCCUGUCCUCACAGUGCUGAGGACCUCCGAAGCCAGUGGUGGCACAUCCCUGUGCAGGAUCCUGGCCCCGUGUGACUGCAGAGUGAGGUGGCUGACCCUAAGGGCAUGUGCUGGUCCAUACCCCACCCCAAGACAGGCCAGCAGCCCACAAGGGCUGGGAACAUUGUGUUCUCAGCUCACACCUGCAGUCACUUGGCAGUUGUCACACUUAAGCUGGGCUUGAGCAUCUGGGGUAUCCAUGGCAGCUCCCGGAAGCAACUGUAUCCAGCCCAGGGGCCCCGUGGGUGGUUCUUGUGUUUCUGGCUUAUCUACUUGCUGGGAUGGAGCAGGAGAGAAGUGGACUGGGGGAGGCAGGGAGCUCUUUGUCUGGGUUGGUUGGGGCCAGCCACCCCUGCCCCCACUGAUCUGCCUCCUGGAGGAUUGGCUGGUGGAAACAGCUGGAGGAGGUGCAGCCACUCAGACCCCGUACCAUUUGUGCCUGGCCCCAGAGGCUUGGCAUAAUGGUUUGUGCAGGCAUGUGUGCAUUAGAAGGGGUUCCCAGAUGUGACUUCUGUUUAACAUGGAGGAUAUUAAAGUCCCUGCACCCAGUUGUGCAGAAACCCCCAGUCCUCCAGCUCCCAUCCAUGGGCAUCUCAGCCUUCUGAUCCUUCUGAGGACUUAGAGACCUCCUCUGGCUUUGACUUUCACAUCACAGAUAUAGUGGUCCCCCUCAUGUGGAGUUUGCUUUGCCUGGCUUCAGUCGCUGUGAUCAAUCAGAAGGCUGAGGACAGUACAAUGAGAUAUUCUGAGAGAGAGAGACUAUACAUACUCACAUAGCUUACUAAAGUGUCUUGUUACAUUUGUUUUGGUUUACUAUUGUUAAUGUCUUACUGUGUUGAACUAGUAAAUUACAGGGAAAAGCAUAGUACACUAAUGUUCAGUACUGUCACUGAGUCUUGGAACAUGUCCCUGUGGGUAAGGGGAUCCAUUGUAGUCUGCAGACAAAAGGGCAUCUAACAUUUUUCAGAGACCUUUUCUCGUGCGAAUGGUUGAUACAGAUAGCUUUUCAUUUGGUGGAACCUCAGUGUGGGGACAAAACAGGCAUUGUCCUUCUUGUUGCCCCUGUGGGUCUGCUCUGUGAUGGCAUCCUGAAAAUUCAGCUGAGAAUUGAAGGGUGGCCUCUGUAGGGAGCUGGUGUGUCCAGAAGGUCUCUCAUGUGAGGGCAGUGACUGGGUGUUUCUGGGAGGCCCAGCUGCCAGGAGUGGUCCGGGUGCUGGAGUGCCCUGCAGGCUGCUGAGCAGUGCUGAGAAUGCAGAAGCUUAGACAGCAUGGGCUGCCAUGGUUUUGAGGCCUUGGGUGGAGGACAGAUUUCACCGGGACAUCUGUCUGGGGAAGUCAAGAGUGACAGCUUCUGAGGCUGUGACUUGCCUGUGGUUUGUUUUCUUAGAUCCAAGCUCUUCAACUUGAGCGUGGUCAUGGGGAGAAGCUGAAUGCAGAAGAAGUACUUGGGGUUUUGUUGUCAUUUUGGUGCUGCCUGGCUUUAGAUUUUCUUUCCUUUUCUCCAGCCAUCUACUUCCUCACAAUCCCGUAGUCCUCCCUGCGAGCUGCUCUGCUGCCCUGCAGUCCCAGGGUGCCCCCAGCUCCUGAGGCUGUGCCACCUGUGGUGACAUGGGGCUGGCUCAUAGGAGGUCUGCUGUAUUUUUAGCAAGUGUCUGAAAUACUUACAGAGCUGAGAAUAGGAUGGUUGUGCAUUUAAUUAAAUGACACUGAAGUGGGAGAUGAUUACUUCUGCAUGUUUCAGUAGGCCCAGUGGGAACUCUCCGUUCCUGCCUAGUCCUAUGGCUAGAGCCCCACAGGGCUAUCACCUUCGAAAAUGCCCCCGGGCCCUCCCCCAUGCGCACCCAGGGUCCUGAGGGUGCUGAUCUGAAAGUCCUGGGUUCAUUAACACACCUAAGUGCCCCUGUUCUUAAUGGUAAUCUGUGUGUUGUCAGCACAUAUUGUGUUAAAGCAUACACCAUGGACGCAGCCAGCAGGUCAUUAUGGAGGAAGCACGUGUACAACCUUGGGGCAUCCACUGGCUGUGAUAUGACAGAGAAUGAGCAACAUCCAGCCACCUGAACAUAGAUGGGGGCCAGCCCUGAGCCAAGACUGUACCAUGGCUGCAAGCCAAGGGCCCCUCAAUAGGGACUGAAAACUCUGAACAGGCUCUUCACAGCAGCAGCUGAGUGUGGGCUGUCCUGCUUCUCUGCUGUAGAUACUACUACCCAGUCCUGUGGCUGGACACCACACCUGGCACGGGCCCUCAGAGUGUGGCCUGUCAGAGCUGGGAUGAGACUUGGAUGUCAAAUCCCCAGCCCACUUGGAAGACUCAGCAUCCAGAAUGUGCUGUGCCUCCUUCAGGAUCUGUGUGUCAAUUACAUGUUGGAGCAUCAUGAUUUGCAUGUACACUGGGUCGGAUGAAAUUGUUACUACAGUGAACUUGGUCUGCUUGCAUUUGCUUCUUGGGAUGUGACUUCUAGCAACAUCCGAGGUCACCGUCGGGUGUGUUAGGUGCACUGGUCUGGCGUGCAGUAGGGUGCUAAGGUUUGCGCUCCCUCCCAUCCAGGCUGGCUGUGAGAGGCCUUGAAGCUGGCAGCAGAGAGAGUUCUUGUUCUCGUAUUUCUGCAGAGUUUCUGGGCCUUUCUCCUUCAGGCCUUCCCUGCCCUGCCCUACCCUGCUGAGCUCACUGCAGUUCUGAAGGUCCUGUGUUCUCCAGGCCUCAGUCCCCCUUGCUUUCUGUGGUAAAGAAGCAGUGCAUUCGUUUGCAGCUGAUUUUUCAUAUCGCUGCUGUGUCUUGAGCAGAUGGGUUGGCAGCUGGGCCUGCAUGUCCUGGUUUCAGAGACCCUAUGCUGUAGCCCAUGCCAGGAGGGCUGUCCUUGGAAGCCUCUCUCACCCUCCACCUCACUUGUACUUGCUUGGCAGCCUCUGGGGUCUGGAUGGAGGGCUGCGGCCUGCCCAGCUGUGGGGCACCCAGCCAGAACCCUGAGAAAGGACCCCAGGCACUGUCACAUCUGCCCAGGCUAUUUAUAUCCCACAAAGGGCUCAUUUUUCUUUUCAGAGUGGCCGUGUGGCCAUGUGGUCAUGCACAUGAGUGGAGCUGGUGAGACCAGCCUUUCACUGAGCAGCUUUUGGACAUGCCUGGCACAUUCUCACCCACAUGCAUGCUGUAUAGUUUCAUGCCAGCAGCUUCUCGGAGCGCUUGGGGAGUGCAGCCUGUGUCGGGGCAGCCUGUGUGUGUCGGGGCCGCCUGUGUCAGGUCCACAUCACCUGGAGAGGGAAUGUUCUCUGGUGCAUCUCAUACGGGAUAGUGCCUCAGCAAAGGAACCAGCAUUGGGCCCCAUGCCGCCACCACCCCUGCUGCUGCCUGCUGUGUAAAAGGUGUCACCACCCAGGGUCUUGGAUGGUGCAAGCCUCAGGCCGAGUCAGAGGGCUGUUCAUGUGUGCAGGAAGUGGCAGCCCUGAGAAUAUUGUGAGGAGCAAACUUGGCCUCGCUGCCCUCUGAACAGACAGCCCUGGGCAUGUUGUUGGAGGAAAGAGGGUAGCAGGUCCUCUCUGGCCCUGUUGGGAAGACAGGCACUCAACCUUGGAGCGGGGCCUACUCCCAGACACUCACAGCCUCAGGGUCUUGUGGGAUUGUUUUUGUCCCUUGUAUAGACUGAAUAGUGACCCCCAAAGAUACCUGGCUCAAAUCCCAAGAACCUUGAAUGUGGCCUUGUAUAAAUAGUGUUUUGCAGAUGUGAUUAAGUUAAGGAUCUGGAGGUGAGGAGGUAGUUCUGGAUUAUCUGCUGGGCCCUGCGUGUAUCCUUAUGGGAGGGAAGUAGAGGGAGACAAGAAAGGAGAAGGGGAGCAGGCUGUGCAGAGGGGAAGCAGACACUGGAGUGAUGGGGAGUGAGGGAGAAGUGUAUGUGCCAACUUUCCUGGGUUGGGCUGCCCAGAUAGGUGGUCAGGCAAGAGGUGUUCCUGGUGAGUUGAGCAUUGGCACUGGUGGGCUCAGUAAAGUACAUUGCCCUCCAGUGCGGGUGGGCCUCAUCCAGUCCUGAGGGCCUGAACGGGACAGAAAGAAAUCCCCAUGCUGACUGCCUGCAGAUGAACACUUCAGCCCUCUUAAAUCUCCGUCUCUCCAGCUUGCAGACAGCAGAUCUUGGGACCUCAGCUUCCAUCAUCAUGUGAGCUGUGUUCUCAUCAUGAAUCUCUUUCUUUCUGUCUCUCUCUCUCUCUCUGUCCACAUCCUGCUGAAUCUGUUUCUCUGGAGAACCCUGGAUCACCAAGGAGCACAAACCAAGGGAUGCUGGCAAGCCACCAGAUGGAGAGAGAGGCUGGGAAGGGGGUCUCUCAGAGGGAGGGAACAUACUACCUGGCUCUGUGUUUGGUCCAGUGAUGCUGACUUCAACUCCUGACCUACAGAAGUGCAAGAGAGUAACUUUCUGCUGUCUCCAAGGCAGCCAGUUUGUAGUAAUUGAUGAGAGCUGUAAACAGUGCUUCCCUCAAUACUUGGGCCCCAGCCUCCGAGCUGUCAUUCUGUGGCUUAAAUUUCAGGGCAGGACACCGCUGGGUGUAAGGGCAUGUGUGUCUUUAUUUUGACAGAUCUUGUCAGAUGAGUUUCCAGAGAGAUCUAAAAGGUGGUCCCAGGUGGAGGACCCUCGUCCUGCAUCUGCUCAGCAGUGGCCUGAGGUGUCUCUCUUGACUCAUCGGGCUCGGGGGCAGUAACAGCUUAGAGUGGCUGGUUUCCAUGAUGCAUGAUGAGUGUGGUGUCUUUGCCUUGUGCUGUCCAGCAUGUGGAUCCUUCUGUGAACCGCCUGUUGUGUUCUUUGACCCCAUUUCUGUGGGACAGUCAUCCCUCUCUUACCUGUCUAUAGGGAAUGUGUGUUUCUUAUAGAUCCUCAGUCUCCAACCCGCUUCUUUGAACACUGAAGUCCCAGUUUCUCUGUUUGGUAGUAUUUAUCUUUCUUUUCUCUUAAGGCUCGUAGGUACCAGUGUUUGGAUUAUGUGGUCUGCCUCAUGAUUUUCUGACAGGAGUUCUUUUUUUCUGUGUUUGAAUUAAACUCUUGAAUGUGUCUAGAAUCCUUUUGCAUACUAAGGGUUAAACUCUGUUGCGGGGCUGGGUGUGUAACUCAGUGAUGGAGCACUUGCCUAGUGUGUGCAAGGCCCUGGGUUCGAUCCUACCAUCACAAGACAAAAAAAGAUGUUAGAAAGGAAGUCCAAGUCCAGUCAUUCCCUUCCAGGGUACUAGCCCCAGUCAUCCAUGCUUUGGUCCACUGGUUGAACUGCAACUCUGUAGUCUGUUGUGUUCCUGUGUUAGGUGGGUUCCAUCUGGAGUGCCUCCUCCCGUCUCCACUGGCCUGUUUGCCAUUUCACAUGCCUGAGUCACAUCAGGAGCAUUUUAUAGCCUGUGUUGAUAGCUGAGGGAGGAAGUUCCCCUGCUGUGCCUUGUGUGUGAUGAAACACUGCUUUAAUAUAGCGAUGAGAGAAGAGGUCCUUCACAGUGUGUGUUUUCUCUGGGUCUUGGGCAGAGGAGGUUGGAGUGGGGCAGAGCAGCUGUGCCGAGGCGGCAGCCAGGGAGAAGGCUGUGGAGGUUGGCAAAGGAGGACCUGGGGAAACAGAAAAGCAGACCCAUGUGUGCAGAACUGCACCUGGGCUGUGGGUAACUUCUGUGGGAUGAUUAAACAUGUGAGCCAGGAGUGGUCAAGGCAGUCAGCCACUAAGUGGCAAGCAAGGCUGUUGGUGAAGGUGGUGCAAAGAUGGCAGCUUGUGCAGGGCUCCUGCCCGCAGCUUGGUUUCCUUUGUGUGCGGUGCCCUGACCUGGCCCUGGCUGGGGUGGGCACAUGUGUGGGGCUCCGUGUGUACAGCUACAGUUGGCAGGGGUGUGAAUGUGGUGUUGUGUACCACUAUCACAGGCGCCUCUGGCCCUAGUCACCUUCAGGGAGUUACGCCCAGUACUGCCCUGGCCCUCUGUUGCCUGGUGCCCCCAUGGUCUCUGAAAGCUUUCUGUGCUGCCAGAGCUAGGCUGGCUCCACCCUCGCCAGGAGCAUAGUGAGGUCAGGGCUGCUUUGUCCCUUUGUGACCCUGGCCCUGCCUGUGCUGUGGGUGGAGGUGUGGAGAGGCGUUCAGGUGCCUGACUCCACACAGGACUAACAGGGAGACUUGAGGAAGUGGGGCCCAGUCCUGCCUCAGAGGCGGACACUGGGUGAGGCUGGCUGAGGUGCUGCUGAUUCCAGCAGCUCACUUGCCCGAGUCCUCCUUUGGCUGUGGCUGCCAGCUCAGCCUGCUUUGCAGGUAGCAGUCAUAGGCAGGUGGGGUCCAAGUUGUGCUUUGCAGAGAGGGAUCAUUGUCUUCCAGAGACCUGGUAGCUCUACAGGAGCAGCAGGACUGCACUGAGGUCAGUGAGAAGGUAGAUGGGUACUGGGCUGGAUGGAAGAGGUGGACAGAGUGCCUGGACCCUUGGGUGGAACUGGGCCUUGUGGGCGUCAGGUUGCGCCUAAGUUCUUCCUUUAUCUAGGCUCUCACAAAGCCUGUGGAACACGGGUACUAUUCCUCUCCAGUGCUCCCUGUCCUGGGGCCUGGAUGGAUAGUCAUGUUCACGCCUUGCCUGGGAAGUCCCUGUAAAGGGGCCUGAUGGGGCUGGACAGGGCCUCUGUGUGGGGGAGCUGGGAAUCACAUCUUGGGUUGAAGAACUGGCCUUCUCCUCGGGACAGCUGGAUACAGGGUGUCCUCCUGCUGUGGAGCAUGGUCCUCGUGGGUGUCAUAUGUGGCUCCAGCACCCAUGAAAGGCCCUGACCUACUGCAGGUCAUGCAGAUAGGUCUCUAGCUGGCCUAGCCAGAGGACCCAGGAUUCAUGCAUGUGACAUACGUCUGGUCAAAGCCAGAGUGUUGGCAAGCAUCUUCCUGAGGUCUGUGUUCUUUGUUGGGAAAAGGAAGCAGGACAGGAGGAGGGCCUUGGUCCUGCUGGGCACUGGGUAGUGCUGAUCUAUCCCAGGGCUGGAUGAAUGAUAAACCUACUGGGAGCCUUUCCCACACUUGUGUGCUGACCCCUCUUGGGGCUUGGGGCCAAUUCUCUGUCAGCAGGUGCGGCCUGCAGAGGUAGAAGGCAGUCAUGUUUUCAAAGCUUACCCUGAACAGCGCGGGGAGAAUGCAGUUGGCUGAGUAUGUGGUAUGUUUGUAUGCGCAGGUAUCUGAUCAGCCCUGCCUCUCCUCCCUUCCUGGCUACUGAAUAUCUUGGUUCUGUGAGAUUUUGCUGCAGCCUGGUUUCCCAAUGACUCUUCAUGUAUUUCUGUGACUUGAGGAGUGAGGACUACACUCUCCAGUGAGGACUCUUGGAGACUUGCCUGCUUGGAGAGACCAGGUGGCUUUUCCUUGUCAGGCAGGAGUCCUUUCACCACACUUACAGCACCAUCCCCCGGAGUUCCUGUCACUGCCAUGGCUCCUGACUUUGACCAAGGCCACAUCUAAGCAGCAGCAUGUCUCAGGCCUGAGACCAUGGCCUUAGGCCAGCAGGGAAGGGAAGAAACCCAGCUCACUGGGUGCCCAUGGCAGGGAGGGCCAGCAGCACAUGAGCUUGCAGCAUGGCCAGUGUUGGUCUGCAUACCCAUACCCUGUGUGAGGUUCAGGCAUGUGUAGUGUUUUGGGGAAGAGAGAUGUUUAAACACAGCCAUAGGAACAGGGUUGGUCUCGUGAGGAGCUGUUGCUUUUCUACUGACAUUUCCUGAACGUGCUGUGAUCCCAUAGCCAGAUCAUCUCUUAGAGACAGUGGACAUGAACCCCUUCCACCAGUCUCCAUUGCUUUGUGCAUGGUGCUGGGCUCCCCUUUCCCUUAGAUCUGAAGCUGGAAUUUAACAGGAACUGCAGACCCACGAAAGCAAGCUAGAAGCAAUCACUUUGAUAUCUAAGAGGGAAGCUGAACCCCCAAGGACCGGGUGGGGCCUGUGGAAUCCUCAUACUCAGGACCCCAGAGCCCUGAGGAGGAGCCCCAGGGCAAUGGGAUCACUUUCCCCUCCUGCUUCUUCUCAGGGUCUGGGGCAUCCUGCUGCAGCCUGCUGGACAUGAUCUGCCAUGCAGCCCAAGCACUGUGGCCUGGCCCUUCUGGAUGUCCACUAUGCUGGGCCCAGUUCCCUAACAUUCCUCUCCACAGCCCGUCUACCCUGAAGGAGAUCCUGACUGACUGAGUCCCAUGUUUUUGUGGAAGGGAACAUCAGGGCAGCUCUUUGUACGGUUGGUGGCAGGUCGGCUUGGGCCAGGCCUCAUUGGUGUUGCAAGAAGGGCUUAGGAUUGGUGGGUUGUAGCUGCUGAGGAGGCAGUUUGCCCAGGGAUGUAGUUGUUAUUCUUAGAAGGCCUAGUUGCUCUCAGCAGCUUGGUGAGCAGGCUUUGGAUCGGGUGAGACGACGUUCAGGAGCUCAGCCCAAAGCUACAUGCUACUUUGUGUGGAUGAACAAGCAUUUGCUAGGAUAGUCAAGUGAUAAUCAGAGUCGAAGUGUGCUUGUCAGACUUCUGACCCCUUCUGACUCAGGUCUCUCUCAGGGCCGCCUCCAGCUCUCCAACCCCGUGUCUGCCUGCGCAGGAUGGAUCACAGCUUGUCACACACGUGUGACACCCAGCAGUGUGCUUGGAUGUCUUGCCCACUGGCUGAGCCCAUGAGGGUAGGUAGGUCCCUGAAAGUCUGCUCUGGCAGCAUUGUAGCAGCUCCUGGCAGGCAGGAGGGGUUUGGGGAUUGUCUGCACAUGGAUGGGAAGGGGUAUUACACACAGUGCUGGGGAGCUUGAGGGUACUGGGGGGAGGCCUCCCUUUUUCCAGAUCAGAGGGUACUUCACCCAGAAGGGCUCGGUAGCUUUGGGUGAUACAGAGUCUUCCCAAGCAGAUGGCAGUGCUGAGGGGGUCAAGAUGAUAGGGGGGCUGGUGCACAGGGUGUGGGCAGUAGACCAGGCAGUGUGACCUGCAUAGUUUGGGGUAAAGAGUCUGGAUUCUAAUCAGAAGUCAGCAGAAAGCCAUUGAGAGGUUUUUAGCAGACACAUUGGACCAGAUUUGGAUUUCAGAGAUGCUCAUGCAGCUGAACCAUGGAGGACCAGAUGGAAUUGCAGAUGCAGAGAAGGAUACAGGGCUAGAGAGGAAUCCAGGGAGGACAGUGUGGUCACUGAAUGCCAGCCAGAGGCUGGAGGUAACCACGACCACAUGGCCACCUGGGUUAAGAUGCUAACAUGACUACAUGCUUACCCUGGGUGGGCAUGAGUGGAGGUGCCCUAGCCCGGGGGGGGCUCCCAGGAUAGGGCAGGUUCAGAGGGAGGAAGCUGACCCCAUGAACAGGCUGGUCCCUGGUGGCCAGCUCUGCUCCUGCCUGCGGCUGGUGUGUGCCCUUUGCAGCUCUGAUGAGGCUGAUGGAGGCACUGGGCACUGCUGCAGAAUUAUAACUCAGCAUGCUCUGUCUCUGACUGGGGUGAACUAAUGCUUAAAAUCAAUACUGGAAUGUGGUGGACGUGAGCAUGGGUCAGUCAUCUGGCCCAAUUUAAGCAAUGGAUUCCUCAGACUUUUCUGUAGUGAGAAUCUUUAGUACCUGUCGAUAGGCGUUUAAAAACUGAUGCUUGCUGUUGCUUUUUACCAUACAUCUGAGUGACCUGUCGAUACACUCUGAGGUUUGGGUUGCCUGGGAUGAUCUCUGGAUUGGCUGUUUGCUGAGUUAGUACCUUUAUACAGAAAUGAAGCCACAUUAUGCAUCCUAUUAUUUAUGGGGGUGGUGCAUGCUGCUGUUUGAAACCAUUAGCCUCUCUUUGGCUAAUUAAAAGCCUUCUUUUUCUUUUUUUGGACAAUAGUGCUGGGGUUUGAACCUAGAGCUUUGCCCAUGUUGGAAGUGCUCUACACUGAGUUGUGUCCCUAGCACCAAAUCCUCAAUAUUUUUUGUGAGAAGUCUGUAAUAACUGGAGACAUAUCUUGCGCCAUGUGUUUUUCCUAAUGUCACUGUUGCUUUAAGAAAACCACCUUCAGGUCUAAUUAUCCUCCUAGGUAAUUUACAGGCUGGAGUGGUCUUACCCCUCCUCUCAACCCAAAGAUCUUAAAGGUAAAGAGGAUUCAAGGGAAUUCUGUUCUUUAAACCAGAUAAGACAUACAUUCUCAGUCUGUAAACCUGGCUUGGCAUUAUCAAGUUUAUAAAAGUUGUUAAAGUACAUGAAUUAUAUUUGAUUUCAGCCCAAGUAUAUAAGGAAUACUUUGGUGUUUGCUUUGAAAUGUCUUUAGAGCUAGAAAUCUUCUUUGUUUCUUGGGAAUGACAGAAGAAAGCAAUUUCCUAAUGUGGGUUUGACUGGUGAUGGAUUAAUAUUUUUCUUAAUUUCUCGAUCCCAUCUCUGUUAUUAGACUCCCGGUCUCCAGACCCCUGCAGUGAAUGUCAUCAGGCCCACCCUCUGCCCUUUCUGUUUUCUGCUGCUGGCCCAUCCAGCCCUGAGGCCCCUCUCUCCUCCUUCCCUCUCUGCAGGGACUGCACAGAUGCUCCUGCCAUCCUGGCUCACUGAAUCCUGCUGAGUGUGGCCCACUCCGCUCUAGCCCUUGUAGAAAUUAAAUAAAGGCUGCUAGCUCGCUGGGUAAGAGGGGACGGAGCCAUGUGCGGGGCAACCAGUGGGUGUGUCGUGUCCUGGCAUGCUAGAAGUGUCAAUUUGUCAGCUGGCCAUGAGCCUCAGUUUCUGAUAUUAAAGACUUUUAAACUUAGCACUGGGACCUGCCCUAGCUCCUGUCCCAGCUAUGUCCCAGCUAUGAGCCAGAGUAGGCAUCUCUGCAUUCCUUGGAGGGGCAGAGCUUGCCCCUGCCUUGCUUACCUCUGAGCUCAGAGACACACUUGUGUGUCUGCCCAGUCAGGCCCCUGCUUCCUGCAGUACCAGCCAUGCCAGCUAGACCUCCCAUCAGUCACCCCAUGACCAGAGGAGCACCAGGAACUCCUACCAGUGGCAGCACAGAUGGGUCAGUGUUGCAGUCAGAGUGCCACCUGUGUCCUCCAUUUGUGCCCUUCCCUUGAGGGCCGGACAUGGCCCUAGCAGCAAGGGGAACUGCUGUCACUGCUGUCUGUUGGGGACCUAGCGGAGAGAGAGAGCCACUGCUGGAAGCAGAGCCUGCCAUGUUGGGGGCUCAGAGAGCUUUAUGGGUGUCCAGCUGCUUAGUGUAUGAUUGUCUGAUUGACCAGUGGGCAAUGUGCCCCAUGGAGGGCUCCGGGCUUCCCAGAGCAGCUUGAGCACUCAGGUCUCCACCCUACCCGCUCCUCAGGACACCAUGUGUCACCCACUUGUGUCUAGACAGCCUCAAGUUUGGGCUCCUGGCAGCUAUCGUUUGGAAGCACUUGCUUCCCUGUUGAGUGGCCGCCCGGUCCAGCUGAAGCAGUAGUCAGCUGUACACCAUGCUACAGCUCCACACGUCACCUUACAGUCUGCCUUCCCGCUGCUGCUGGACCCAGAUGCCUGGGUCAUCUUUGUGCUUACUGUGGGCCUUCAUGCUCAGAGAGGCUGAGGGACCCCGCCAGGGCCUCACAGGACCAUUUGAGGGAAGCUCAUGAGAUUCCAGCACUUUUGUCCCUCUGGGCCGAGCGAGCAGCCCCUGCCCCAUGGCUGUGUGCAGGGAGAGCUGGAUGUGGGGCAGCAUCCUGUCCUUGCACCUGGAGGUGCUGUGCUUCUGUGGCCUUUGUGGUCCUGAGGAUGAGGACACGGUGUUGAGUGGUCCCCUACCCCUGCCUGGUGGGCAGUGGCAUGCACAGCAUGGGAGGGUGCUAGGUAAGCAGCCCCUUUUCCCAGAGUCUGACUCCCCUGCCCCAGCCCCUAAGUGGCCCUUCUCUGCCCGUGAAUUACCCACACAGGAAAACAAUCGAGCCCACAUUACAGAACAGCCCUGCUAUUUAUAGGGCAGAGAAUAGGGGCAGGAUGGUUCCACGACCUGCAGACAAGACUUACCACGGGUCCUUGUUUGACUACUGAAGGCGCCUUGUUGUGGCCCUAGUGGGCGCAGCUAUCUGCAGCACAUCCCCUCACCCUGUCCCACACUGUACACACUGAUGACAGUCCUUGAAACCCCUGGAAGUCAGGAUGACAUCCCCAACAGGCAGGAACGGAGUGUCCAGAUCUGAUGGUGCCCUGGGGAAAGGUGAAGCUGGUGGGGUGCUCUGGGGCUGGGCUUUUCUCAUUUGUGUACAUGGUCUGAGCAUAAGGAUUGCACCCGAGGUGGCUGAAGCCCAAUGAUGGCCACUUGCUGGAGGACAGGAGGAGAAGGAUGCCUGGGCAGACUUGAUAGGAUUCGCCUCACACUGUUGUGUUUCAAAGGCAGUGGGACGCUACUGAGGAGCACCUGGGGCUGACCUUGGUUCCUUCUCCUGGGUGGCUGAUAGAGCACCCCCGGGACAUAUGGGAACCUCUGGAAGGUGGGUGUCUGGCUUUGUGAAUGCACUUAUCCAGAGGCUUUUUCUCUUUCCCGUGUGUGCUCUGUAGGGAAGGGGUGGUGGCUGUGGGCUCCUGGCCUGGCAUCACCUGGUGUGGUCUUGGCAGGGCCAGCAGCAGGCAGGGCCUGGUGGAACUGGCAGGACUUCCUGUGCCUGAAACCAGGGCAUUGGCUGCUCUGUGACACAGACUGGGGUGACCUCACAGCUGCUGGGUUUUAUAAAUUGAGGUGCAUGCUGGGCAUCAUAUCCUGUAUGUCCCAAGAGUGUGCAUAUCAGAGAACUGGGGAAUGUGCUGUUCUGUGAAGUUUGGACAGGGGACAAGGGACUGGGGUAUAGAGGGGCCAGAAACAAACUAGAAACUGCACGCCUGCGUGGGACCCUCUUGGACAGAAUCCUGAGCAGAGAACUGUGCCAGAGAACUGCAGAGGGCUGUCCUCAGGCUGGAAUUUACAUGGGAAUGGCGGUGUGAAUGGGGUGCUGUAAUCCUUCUAAAAUUGGGGUAAAAUUUGCAUCUGAAUGGCUCAUCAAGUCAAGGUUCCCUGGAAUGUGCAAGUUUCCUUACAACUCCCCAGUCCUCUGAAGGGUUAUUUGCAUCUUUACUUAGCUGGCAUUCUGAACCCUGGUGUACCUCGCUGCUGCUCUUCUGAGUGGUGUCUGUCCUGCGCCAGCGAUGAGGGUGGCCUGCCCUGUGCCCUCCCCGCCCGCUGUCCGCAUCCUCCAGGGAAGCAGAAGGAUGCUGAGCUCUCAGACCAGCUAAGUUGGCCUUCAGUGAGGCAGAUGGGUGUGAUGUGGACACCAGAUACUUUUUAGGAGACUUCACCUAAAAAUCCAGUUUUUUUGUAGAAAAAGAAAAUCAGGAGUUGUGCCCAUACUGAGUCAUAUUCCCCAAGGCUGGAAGGUGUAGCUGGCCUUCAGACAAUGUUAUGGGGCAACCUGUUAGACGUGCUGAGCUCAUGGUCUCACAACAUCAAAUGAGGUUAUGAACCAAAGGAAGAAGUUAGGAGAGUUAUAAAUUGUUGGAAAUAUAGUAUGUCCCUGACUUAUGAUCGAGUUCUGUUCUGGGAGGACGUUCAUAAGUCAGAUUCGUUCCUAAAUCUGACAACAUGAAUCUUGUACACCUUUGACAGAAAUAUACAAUGUAUAUUGCUUUGCACUUCCUAGCAGUCCCUUCCAUGUCACCACUGCUUUCCCUCUUGCUUCCAGGCAUCCUGGGCUCUGACUGGGCACUGUACUACUGUGCACCCUCACACUGUGCAGUAGGCACACAGCAGCACAGCUGUGACAAUGUGCUCGCAACACGUGAGCUACUCUAUGAUUUGUUCACAUCUCCAGAUGUUUGCAAGGUGAGGUCUGUUUGUGUCUGAAAGUUCACAACUUGAAUGUUCUUAAGUCAGAGACUUACUGUAAAGAGAGAAUAGCUCCUGGAUUUCCAGGAGGGAUCCUGAGUGUGUGGUGGACCGAGGUCCUUUGUCAAGGGUAGUUUAUGCAGCAAAAUCACACCAUGGGUUCAAUGUGGGUCAGACUGUAGUCAACCUGUAUGAUUAUAAUAAUAGCUGCUCAGCUAAUACUGAUCCAGUAGGAAACAAGUCACAUAGCAAGGGCACAUGGAAAGAAAAAGGGCAUGGAAAUAUGGAAACAUGGAAAACGUGGAAGGGGACGGAAGUGUUGGUCCAGACGUUCUGGUCACCCAUCUGUGCAUCUGAUGCCUAUGUGUUCUCUCUGGAGCAGGUGGUGCUGAUUAAAGUAAAAUCUCAAGCUGCUGUGUAUCUCUAGGGAAAGCUCGCAGGCCUGGCUAUUGCAUUUCCACUUUGAGGCUUGGCUCUGUUCAGAUUUACCUCCAGCCACAAAUGUGAUGUCUUCAUCUUUUGCACUACUUCCUGGAGGGCCGAUCCUUCUCUGAUUGCCUGUGAAGUUUCUGUCUAACUUAACUGUCUAUAAUAACAGGACUUUGGCCCCCUAUCAUCCCCAUAGUUCAGCUGGCCCCUUGCCCUCACCUUCCCUGUAGGGCCCAGAGGCUUCAUUAAGGGUUCAUCCAACCCCAUGCCAGAGGCUGGACAGUGGACCCCUGCAAAACUUCCGUGUCCUCAACCUGGAGCCAGUGAAUGAGUUACAGUAGGUGGGGGAGGGCCUGUGCCGAUGUGGUCAUCUAAGUAGACCCAGAAUGUAAUAGAGGCAAGAAGGCAGAGAGGAGAUGUUCCACUGAUGGUGAAAGGCAGGGACAACUCUUCUUCUACCCUCUUAGGUUCUCUCACUGGCCCCGUGAAUUAAACUGACAUAAAACAGAUUAGCAAGAGAAUGGGCAGACAGAUUAUAUUAUUUUUACAUACACAGUUGCUUCACAGAAAAGAAAUGAAAACUCAUAUGUCAUCGGGAAGAAGCAGUUAGACAAAAAAUGGUAAGGCACAGAGAAAUGAGCAAAAGAAAAGGGGUUUGGACUCCUAGAGGUGGUAAAUUGUGUGGAGGUGAUUAAGAAUGUCUGGUGGGUGAGGAUUGUUUAGGAAGAUGCCUUCCUGGAAAUUUAUGCCUUGCUUUGAGUCAGGAAGAGGGCAGAGAGCUUUCUUGGUGUUUGGUGUUUCUCACUUGCUUUUGGGUCGAAAUAGUACUUUCCAAAGUGGCAGUUUUGGCAUGGUUUAUACAGAUCCCACUCCCUGGCUUCAGAGAGAGAGGAGUAGGAGUGGCCCAGGUGCAAGGGAUGGCAGGUGACCUCUAGAUUGUGGAAAAGGCAGAGAAAUGUAUUCUUCUUUAGAGCUCCAGAAGAACUCGGCUAGCUUCUCAAUGCUAGCCCAGCCCUCUGCCAGAUGUCUGAUCUCUGGGACUGUAAGAUAAUAUCCAUUGUGUUGCCUUAAGCCACAAGGUUUGGGGUCAUUUUUCACAGUAGCCCUUGGACACCAAUAUAGCUCCCUGAAGACACAGUUUGGUCUUUGAAGGAGCUUCCCAAAGAGAGGCAGGGUGCAUGACCCACCCCUGCUAAGCAGUGAGG